CCCCACAGAGCACUCAAGCACCAGGCCGCUCCCUCUGGGCACAAGGGAAGGUUAGAGUUGGUACGUUUGUCUGAUUCACGUCAGGCUCCCUCACUACAUGAGGGUGAACUCCAUGAAGGCCAAAGCUGUACUUUUUUGUACCUUUGUUCUCAGAAUUGUCUGCACCAGUGACUGGAACAUAGUUGUUCAUUCCAUAAUUUGUUGGCUACAUUAGUAUUUAUUUAUGUUUUAUUUUUACAGUGUGGGGAGCAUAGCCAGAGUCAUGACUUCGUGGCAAAUGGUCUACUUCUGAGCUCCAUCCCCAGCCCUCGAAUUUAUUGAUGGAUUUCUACGUACUAAGAAAUGUUUUCAUUUGUAUACAAAUACCUUCUAAAAGGGAGAGGUUGCUACUGGGAUAGAAUCCAGAACACUGUGAUCCAGAUGGAAAGGGGCUAGUUAUGAACAUGUGCUCCCUGCUGACCACUACACUGCAGCACAGAAAGUCUAAGAGCAAUUUUAAGAGUCAAACUAAGUUGCUAAAUUGCCCAGGCUGGACUCCAACUUGUGAUCCUCCUGCCUCCCAGAGUGACUGAAUCACAGGCCUGUGCUACAGGACCA
rnacentral:lncRNA from 1 species